rnacentral:misc_RNA from 1 species
UCAGAAAUCAAUAAUAACCACAGAUUUUACUGGUUUCAUUUUCACUUUUUUUUUUAUGUAAAAUUAUUAUUGGUGUAUUUAUAAUACAUAAAAGCAAGUUUAAUUAAAUGGAGGUCAAACAAGAAAUUAACGAGGAAACCUGUAAAACAGAAAGAGAGUAUAAUGGCUUGGAUGAUGCUCUUUUAUAUGCCUUUGAAUCUGAACUUCAAGAGGAGUCUAAUAAGAAAAGUACUCAUGGCACAUAUGAUCCUUUAGACUUGCAGAAAUGCCCCAUAAAUACUGAAAUAGAACAACAUAGAGAUCCAUUUGAAGAAAUCCAAGAAACUGAAAAAGUUUAUCUGCCAGAUGGAAUCAAAGUCGAAAUCCUGGAGAAACCCAUUGAAGCUUCAUCUUACGAAGGAAAUGGUAUUAGUCGACACACUGAAACAACAACAUUAACUAAAAAUAUAAAAAGUGUGAGUGGAAAAAGACCUUUUAAAUGUGACCUUUGUCUCAAGCAAUUUAGAUUAGCUAGUGGUUUGACAAGACAUUUGAGAGUGCAUACUGGUGAAAAACCUUACAUGUGUGAAGUUUGUUUUAAACAAUUCUCUCUUAAAGAUAAUUUGAAAGUACAUUUAAGGAUUCAUACUGGAGAAAAACCUUAUCAGUGUGAGAUUUGUUAUAAUCGGUUUGCUCAACUAAGUCAAUUGACUUAUCACAUGUCAGUUCACACUGGAGAAAAACGUCACAAGUGUGAGGUUUGUUUAAAGCAGUGCAUUAGUGCAAGUGAGUUGACGAUACAUUUGAGAGUGCACACUGGGGAAAGACCUUACACGUGUGACAUUUGUUUAAAACCGUGUAUUAGUGCAGGCGAUUUGACAAGACAUUUGAGAGUGCACACUGGGGAAAAACCUUACAUGUGUGAAGUUUGUUUCAAGCAGUUUAGUACUCAAGGUAAUUUGAAAGUACAUUUGAGGAUACACUCUGGAGAAAAGAAUUACAAGUGUGAGAUUUGUUGUAAGCAAUUUAGUGAAGCAGGUACUUUGAGAAAACAUAUGCGAGUGCACUCUGGGGAAAAACCUUACACGUGUGAAACUUGUUUUAAAGACUUUUCUUCAACAAGUAGUUUGAAAACACAUUUGAGAGUGCACACUGGAGAAACACCUUAUCAGUGUGAGACGUGUUUUAAGCAGUUUAUUACAGCAAGUCAUUUGAAAGUACAUAUGAAAAAGCAGGACGGAGAAACACCUUAUCAAUGCGAGAUUUGUUUUAUUCGGUUUUCUCAAAAAGUUCAAUUAAUCUCCCACAUGACAGUUCACAAUGAAGAAAACCCUCACAAGUGUGAAAUUUGUUUCAAACACUGUAUUAAUGCAAGUGAUUUGACAAAACAUUUGAAAGUGCACACUGGGGAAAAACCUUACACGUGUGAGACGUGUUUUAAGCAAUUUACUACUGCUGGUAAUUUGAAAAGUCAUUUGAGAGUGCACACUGGAGAAAAGCCUUACAAGUGCGAGGUUUGUUUUAACUGGUUUGCUCAAAAAGUUCAGUUAACUUCUCACAUGGCAGUUCACACUGGACAAAAACCUCACAAGUGUGAAAUUUGUUUUAAACAGUUUAAUAGAUCAAGUCAUUUGAAAGUACAUUUUAGCGUGCACACCGGGGAAAAACCCUACAAGUGCCAAACUUGUUUUAAGCAGUUUAUUACAGCAAGUAUGUUGAAAAGACAUUUGAGAGUGCACACAGGGGAAAAACCUUAUAAGUGUGAGAUUUGUUUUAAGCAGUUUUGUAAGAACAGCAGCUUGAAAUCCCAUUUGAUGUUGCAUUCAUAAAUAUUUUCUCUUUAAGUCAUUUGAUGCAGCCUAUGAUUUGAACAGUAUCGGCUGGUCAGGGGAGGCAAGGGAGGCUGAGCCUCCUUAUAAAAUUUUUACACACCCUAAACUGUUUUGUUUAUUUUGAAUCGCGAAAAGCAACAAGCACUCUUACUAUAAAAAGUGGCAAUUCGAUUAUUUCUAAAGACCACUGGUAUCUAGAUAUCUGUCUUCAUUUUGCUGUUGUGGCGAGCAGUCGUUUGUUAGAAGAUCCAUUGUACAAGGCUUUUUGGCUUUCGGCUUUCCGUUAUUUUCCCUAAAUGGUAACAUUACGUUCUCAUAAAACUACUUUUUGAAGUUAUAUUUCUUUAGGCGCGAUUUCAUUGAGGGUGAAAUUUUAUUAAUCUGCGCACACAGGCAGUAUGGAGUUAGUUACUAAAUGUUUUAAUUUAUGUAUGUAUCAGUCCAGAAAAGGUGUGGAAAUAAUAUAUUAGUGUUUUUAAAUAUAUUUUUCUAAAAACGUGUUAAAAAUACAAUUUAUAGCACUCCAUAGGAGCGUUAAAAAUGCUACUUUAAAGCACCAGUGCUUUAAACAUUUUAAGGCACUGCAGUUAAAAGUGAAUUGUCAAAUUGUGAAACGUCAAAAUAUUUAUAUUUCAUUUAUUAACAUUAAUAUUAAUAAUACAAAUUGCGCAAUUUGAAAAAGGUGGUUUAAAAAGUUUUUUAAAAUUUCAUUUAAACUGUAUUAUUGCAUUUUUAACACGUUUGUAGAAAAAAACUAUUAAAAGUUAGAAUAUACAAAAAUAAAAGUACAAGAUGUUAUUCUGAUUUACGUAUUGACAAUAUAGGCAGUUUUGAUGUAAUGUCAAGAAAAAUAUAAAAAUGGAAUGUCAAUCAAGUUCAAGUAAAAGUUUUUGUAGGUAUUGUCCUGUAAUUGAGAAUGAAUAAAUUAUAAUUGUUGAUAUAUAAGACGUUUGUAGAAAGAAUAUUGUAUGAUAUAGGUACGUGUUAAAAAGUAUAUUUUUAAGGCACUUACGUGAAUUUCAGAAUGAGCGAAGCGAAUCUUUCACACGAAACUUUCACAUACGUGCCUUAAAAUUGUACCUUUAACAUUUAUAUCAUAAAUAGGUAACUAUUAUUAUAAUUUUUGUGUAUUUGGACUACUAACUACCUCGGGAAUAAGAUAAUAAGUAAUACUAUUUAAAGUAUUUUAUAAUUCACUUCGUCUGUUUGUCACUAUGUCUGAGAAAUCUUGUAGUCCGGAUAAACAAAAGGGUAUAGCUCAGUGGUAGAGCGUUGGACUGGAGAUCAAGAGGACCCCGGUUCGAAUCCUGGUGUUUUCUAAUCUUUUUUUAAUUUUUGGUAUUGUUUCAAUAAAAAGUUUUGUAAAGUAGUAAGUAAAAAUUAAUUUAAUCUUUAAAUAAAAUACAAAUAAACUGUCCGAAAGUAUAUUUAUUUCAUUGAAAUCAUAUUUAGAAGUAUAACUUCUUACCUGCGUACAAAGUACACACACAUUCUUUUUUUUAAUGCAUCCAAUUUCUGCAUCCUUUUUACCAUAAAUGGUCUAUGGUUAGAUGUUUCCGGAAAUCGAAUGGAUUGCUCUUAUCGUACAUGAAUUUAUGGGUCACGUUCCCUCGAAGUUCGUUUCUACCACGGUGUGGUAAUCGCUGAUGUGGUUAUCAGCCAAUUAAAGUUUUCAGUCGAGACUUUAUCCCGGAUUUUUAUCGCUGCUAGUCAAAGCGCGGUAAAAUAUUCAUAUAUUUUAUUUUUGGGUCUAUUUAACUUUGGAUUAAACAGUACAACACACAAAAAGGAAUGUUAUGCUACUUUUUUAAACCAUCAAAUAAAUCUGACUAUGACUUUUUUAUUUUCAAUUAUUUAGCCGUGUGUACGAGUAUGACAUUCAGCCGUGUUAUGGAUGACCUGUAUCUGAUGGGAUGGAUGUAUCUUUAACGUAAAGUUAUCCUGUAGUUAAGUUAUAAUCCUCGAAUUGGUGUGAUGUAUCAAAUUUAACUUAACUAUGUAUUUGCGUUAUUUCUUGACAGUUCUUGAAUUAUCUGAUAUAUCAAUUGUCACUUUAUAACGCGACAUUAAACCUCAAGUUAUGAGAUAACUUUGUAGUUAUGUAAGGAUAUGUAAGGUUAGGUUCAUCUUUUGAUUUGUUUUUAGACAGAAAUCAAGUGAAUUUAGAAGCUAAUAAUUUAAUAAUGAAGAAUAGAAGGGUAAUUCAAUUUUAAAAAUUAUACAAAAAUCAAAUCGAGAGAUAUAAGUUGAAAUUUUAUUUUAAGUGCCUACUGAGCUUUCUAUCCAGAGUUGCCAGAUGAUAUUUUAUAAAUCCCCCUCUUAGAAACUGAAAUUUCCUCAAAUUGAAUGUAUUUCCCAAAUUUAAAUUUUUGCCGCAUUUUAAUAAAUUAGUAGUCAAAUGAAGAGAACAGUAAACCACAAUUAUUAUACUACUUAUCAACGAGGGAGCUGGAAAUAAUUAAUAGUUCCUAUCGUCUUUGAUUAUAUGGGAGUAUAAUAUACAGUUCUGUGUACAUUCGCAAAUUUAAUUUACCAUGACCCCUUAAAAUCCUCCGUAAUUUUCCGCCCCCAAAAAAUCACACUACAAUUUCUGCUUAGAAAGAUUUCCCUAGACGCUUUCAAAUUACUCCAAAAUUGUGGGAAAAUACACCAAUCUGGCAACCCUGUUUCUAUCUAUCGUUUGAAACACCACCGAACCCGAACAGCUGUUUGCUGUUCGGUCAUCGACGAUGGGUAUUUACUUUUACGGUCCUCUACCCAUCCUGGAGCAUGUUCCGAAAUAUCUCUCGAGCCCACUCCAACUUGUACUAUUUCUACAUAAGGUUCUCUUUGUUACGUCAAACUUUAUUCAUCAAAUGUUAUUUCUAAUAUAACGUUGAAAAAAUAACUAUCUCAUAACUGUGAAGAAUACAUCACACCGAAUUUUACCUAAAUGUUUAUGGGCAUCUUUAUACCUGAGAGUAAUCUUAACUUUAACUCAAACGUUAAAGAUAACUUCGGUCAUCCAUCACACGACUGAUUAUUGUAACAUUGUAAUCUUUCAUUUUUUUGCAAAUUGUAUUAUAAGUGUAAUAAAUAAUUUAUUGACGUU